rnacentral:rRNA from 1 species
UACGUAGGGUGCAAGCGUUGUCCGGAAUUAUUGGGCGUAAAGAGCUCGUAGGCGGUUUGUCGCGUCUGCUGUGAAAAACUCGGGGCUUAACCCCGGGCCUGCAGUGGGUACGGGCAGACUAGAGUGCGGUAGGGGAGACUGGAAUUCCUGGUGUAGCGGUGAAAUGCGCAGAUAUCAGGAGGAACACCGGUGGCGAAGGCGGGUCUCUGGGCCGUAACUGACGCUGAGGAGCGAAAGCGUGGGGAGCGAACAGG